GAUGAACGCUGGCGGCGUGCCUAAUACAUGCAAGUCGAGCGAAAAGACGAGGAGCUUGCUCCUCUGACGUUAGCGGCGGACGGGAGAGUAACACGUGGAUAACCUACCUAUAAGACUGGGAUAACUUCGGGAAACAGGAGCUAAUACCGGAUAAUAUAUUGAACCGCAUGGUUCAAUAGUGAAAGACGGUUUUGCUGUCACUUAUAGAUGGAUCCGCGCCGCAUUAGCUAGUUGGUAAGGUAACGGCUUACCAAGGCAACGAUGCGUAGCCGACCUGAGAGGGUGAUCGGCCACACUGGAACUGAGACACGGUCCAGACUCCUACGGGAGGCAGCAGUAGGGAAUCUUCCGCAAAGGGCGAAAGCCUGACGGAGCAACGCCGCGUGAGUGAUGAAGGUCUUCGGAUCGUAAAACUCUUUUAUUAGGAAAGAACAAAUGUGUAAGUAACUAUGCCCGUCUUGACGGUACCUAAUCAGAAAGCCACGGCUAACUACGUG
rnacentral:rRNA from 1 species